GGAGAUGUAUCUCAGUGGUGCAGCACUUGUCUAGCAAGCACAAGGCUCUGGGUUUAAACCCCAGCACCACCA
rnacentral:tRNA from 1 species